UCAGGGAUAGCUCAGUUGGUAGAGAAUGAGACUCUUAAUCUCAGGGUUGUGGGUUCGACCUCCACAUUGGGCAAAA
rnacentral:tRNA from 1 species